ACUAUAAAGCCUUGCCCUGAUAGACAUUCAGGGCUCUCCCACUGAAAGACCCCUGAAGUGGGGAGACCCUCACUCAAGUCUCAGGAUACGCGACCGCCCAAGAAUUCACGAGAGACC
rnacentral:pre_miRNA from 14 species